ensembl:snoRNA
AUGGCCCUGAAUUUUCUGAAGCUGUUGGUUUCAAGGAGGAGCCUAAAGUGAUAUCUUUCUAUGGUCCCCUGGCUAUCUCAGAACUUUAGAAAUGGUCAACUCAUUAGAAAGAAACAACU